CCUACGGGUGGCAGCAGUCGAGAAUCAUUCACAAUGGGGGAAACCCUGAUGGUGUGACGCCGCGUGGGGGAAUGAAGGUCUUCGGAUUGUAAACCCCUGUCAUGUGGGAGCAAAUUAAAAAGAUAGUACCACAAGAGGAAGAGACGGCUAACUCUGUGCCAGCAGCCGCGGUAAUACAGAGGUCUCAAGCGUUGUUCGGAAUCCCUGGGCGUAAAGCGUGCGUAGGCUGUUUCGUAAGUCGUGUGUGAAAGGCGCGGGCUCAACCCGCGGACGGCACAUGAUACUGCGAGACUAGAGUAAGGGAGGGGGAACCGGAAGUCUCGGUGUAGCAGUGAAAUGCGUAGAUAUCGAGAGGAACACUCGUGGCGAAGGCGGGUUCCUGGACAUUAACUGACGCUGAGGCACGAAGGCCAGGGGAGCGAAAGGGAUUAGAUACCCGGGUAGUC
rnacentral:rRNA from 1 species